rnacentral:rRNA from 1 species
UACAGAGGGGGGCAAGCGUUGUUCGGAAUUACUGGGCGUAAAGGGCGCGUAGGCGGCCUUCUUAGUCGAACGUGAAAUCCCCGGGCUCAACCCGGGAACUGCGUCCGAUACUGGAAGGCUCGAAUCCGGGAGAGGGAUGUGGAAUUCCAGGUGUAGCGGUGAAAUGCGUAGAUAUCUGGAGGAACACCGGUGGCGAAGGCGACAUCCUGGACCGGUAUUGACGCUGAGGCGCGAAAGCCAGGGGAGCAAACGGGG